rnacentral:rRNA from 1 species
CAGUAGCCGCGGGAAUACGUAGGGUGCAAGCGUUAAUCGGAAUUACUGGGCGUAAAGCGUGCGCAGGCGGUUUGUUAAGACAGAUGUGAAAUCCCCGGGCUCAACCUGGGAACUGCAUUUGUGACUGGCAAGCUAGAGUACGGUAGAGGGGGAUGGAAUUCCGCGUGUAGCAGUGAAAUGCGUAGAUAUGCGGAGGAACACCGAUGGCGAAGGCAAUCCCCUGGACCUGUACUGACGCUCAUGCACGAAAGCGUGGGGAGCAAACAGGAUUAGAUACCCCUGUAGUCCCUGUCUCUUAUAA